CCUACGGGAGGCAGCAGUUGGGAAUCUUGGACAAUGGGGGAAACCCUGAUCCAGCCAUGCCGCGUGAGUGAUGAAGGCCUUCGGGUUGUAAAACUCUUUCGACGGGGACGAUAAUGACGGUACCCGUAGAAGAAGCUCCGGCUAACUUCGUGCCAGCAGCCGCGGUAAU
rnacentral:rRNA from 2 species